CCAUAUCAUGUUGAAACACCGGUUCUCAUAUGAUCACCAAAGUUAAGCAACAUUGUGCCUAGUUGAUAUCUAGAUGGGUGACCUCUCGGGAUUACCAUGUGCUGUGA